AUCAAAUUCCCCCACACUUAGCUUUUGCUAGUCCUCGAGCAAAACAAAACAAACAAAACAAACAAAACAGAACCUAGACCUUCCAACAUUUGCCUCAGGGAUUUUUAAUGAAACAUAACAUGUUAAAAAUCAUCAUUCCCAUAGAUUUUGGCCAUCUUUACACUUAAGCACAUACUUAAUCACAGUCACCACUUACUAGUUCACAAUUAACCAAUUAAAACGAUGUUUUGAAUGUAGUAACAUGCCUUAGAGAAUUUGCUCAAUUUCUUACAAGAUACUUUCUAUUUUCACACACAUUUUCUGACUACAUACCCUACACUAGUAUAUGUGAGAAGAUUAAUGUAAACACGAAAGACUAGGACUCACAUAUGUUAUAACAAAGAAAGCAAUUUUCUGGAGUUAUUAAGCAUGUUUAGAUAUGAUCUCAUGAAUGGAAUGCUACUACUUAGAUGCGAGAACCAGUGACACCAUAUGCUCAUACCAAUUUUGAACUCCACAAAUUGAAACACACAACACUCAAGAUUGAAGUCAAGGGUUGUAACAGGGCUUGGGGGUAAUGGCUAAUAAAGAAAGGAUAGGAAUAACAAACGUUCUUAAAGUGAUGGCAAGCAAAGCAAUGAAAUAGACACUUGGAAUUCACUUUAGAAUGCAGAAUCAACUUUUAAAUACAAAGGGAAGAUUCAUGCAACACUUAGGGCCGAAUUCAAUGUUUUGGACCCUUUUUUAACAAACUUUUUUCUUUUCACUCUUUUUUUUUUCUUUUCUACCCGUGCCUUAUUAAGGACUUUGGCGCGCACACACACACAAGAAUCACUUCCCCCACACUUAAUUUCCGCAAUACAUUGAUAAAAAAGGAGUUCAUUUUAAGUCAUGCUUUACUAUGCUUCAAGAACAAGGGUAUGGAUGGUCCUAAAACUAGGCUAGGUAAGGAUAGUGUGGAUUAACAAAGAACAUGUGUUAUGCAAAUCAAUAGCAUGCUUUGAAUGAAAUAGGCAUGAGUUCUAGCAUUUGGAACUAAAUGAUGAAACGCCUUCUAAGUAGCAACCAAGCAGAGAAUAAUGAGAUAAUGCAACGACUUUAGAAAACAAUGAUGCACAAAUUAUUAACUCUCCAAAUAAACGUUUAGGCUCAAGUCUCUCAAGGUUGUAGCGUUCAUUUAAGUUCCUUCCUUCAAGCAUGUUACAAAACUGGUUUUUCCUUUAUGAUUGCAUGUGAAUUCAUAAAUUAUAACCACACCCAAGCAUACACCAAAGAGUAAAUCAAAUUUUCAUCCAUGUUUAUAACUCUCUUUAAUAGUCAUGUAAUUAAAAACCAAAUGCUCAUCAUAGUGUUGGAAGGUACCCUAAGACACAAAUAAACACACAAAAACAACUUUUUUUUUUAUGUUUUUCAAAACAAUUUUUCAAAUUUUUAUGAGAUUUUCGGAUUUUUAUGUCAAAACACACUAAAACACUCCAAAACAGCUUAAAAACACUUAAAAACAGCAAGGAAUAACACUAGAAGUAAUGGGUGAUAAACUCCUACGAAUUUUAUGCAAACGACUUAGUUACCCC
rnacentral:lncRNA from 1 species